UGAAUUAAGAAUAAAGAUAGAUUUAUCAGUCUCUGCCUCCUCAUUUCCAAACACAUACACAGAGAGUGAAUAUUUCCCCUUCAGUACAUGCAAACUUCUGGGAACUGGAUUUUUCCAUGUCUCUGUACAGCAUCUAGCCCUGUGGUGCUUCUGUCUUAGAUCUGAACUUCAAAGUGUGACUGCUUCAAGUAAUGAAAUUACUGUAUGUGUUUCUCAGUGCAGUUAACUGCCACCUCUUUAACACUGAUGUAUGACAUCAUAAUGUAAAACUGUAGUGGAGAAUAAGCAAUGGAAUCUGUAGAAGAUCACCAUCCAGCUUACUUUAACAUUUAGCUGAUGAGUCUUUAAGUAUGUUUCCCAUCAGGGUAUAACUUAGCUUGAAAAGUAGAAAUUAUACAGAGAUUAUACAAGAUAAAUGACAGUUCCUGCAAGACAGUUUGGGAUACUGUGGAAAGUUGAAGCAUACUGAAAGUGCCUUUAAAAGGAGACACUGAUUUUAAUUGGAGGGAAUGGUACACAAGCCUGCUAAAUAGAGCUGAUAAAGCUGCUGUGCACCAGAAUGAAGAAAGGCAUUAUGGAUCAGUACUGGAGAACCCAAAGCAGGAUCUGAUUUGUUUGAAACCUAUAUAUAUAGGAGAAUAUGACUGUCAGAUUGAAGCAGAAGGGUUGGACACUGGCUGUAACAUUCAUUGAUUG
rnacentral:lncRNA from 1 species